rnacentral:misc_RNA from 1 species
AAGUCGUAACAAGGUUUCCGUAGGUGAACCUGCGGAAGGAUCAUUAUCGAGUUUUGAAACAGGUUGUAGCUGGCCUUUCUUUACAGGGAGGCAUGUGCACGCUUGGCUCAUCCACUCUCUACCUCUGUGCAUUUUUUGUAGAAAUGGUUUUGAAGCGGACGCAAGUCUGCAGAUGACCUUUCUAUGUUUUAUUACAAACGCUUCAGUUAUAGAAUGUUUACUUGCGGAUAACGCAUUUAUAUACAACUUUCAGCAACGGAUCUCUUGGCUCUC